GGCGCUGUGGCUCAGAAGGGUAGGGUGCUGGUCUCAUAUGCCGGAGGUGGUGGGUUCAAACCCAGCCCUGGCCA
rnacentral:tRNA from 1 species